GUCUCUGUGGCGCAAUCGGUUUAGCGCGUUCGGCUGUUAACCGAAAGGUUUUUGGUGGUUCAAGCCCACCCAGGGACG